rnacentral:rRNA from 1 species
GAUGAACGCUAGCGGCGUGCCUAACACAUGCAAGUCGAACGGGUACCCGAAACGAGACUUCGGUUGAAGUUUUGGACUACCUAGUGGCGGACGGGUGAGUAACGCGUGAGCAAUCUGCCUCACAGAGGGGGAUAACACAGAGAAAUUUGUGCUAAUACCGCAUAACAUAUAGAGGAGUACAUCUUCUUUAUAUCAAAGAUUUAUCGCUGAAAGAUGAGCUCGCGUCUGAUUAGAUAGUUGGUGAGGUAACGGCUCACCAAGUCGACGAUCAGUAGCCGGACUGAGAGGUUGGACGGCCACAUUGGGACUGAGACACGGCCCAGACUCCUACGGGAGGCAGCAGUGGGGAAUAUUGCGACAAUGGGCGCAAGCCUGAUGCAGCGAUGCCGCGUGAGGGAAGAAGGUUUUAGGAUUGUAAACCUCUGUCUUCAGGGACGAUAAUGACGGUACCUGAGGAGGAAGCUCCGG